rnacentral:rRNA from 1 species
UACGUAGGGUGCAGGCGUUUAAUCGGAAUUACUGGGCGUAAAGCGUGCGUAGACGGUUUCGUAAGUCGGGUGUGAAAUCCCCGGGCUCAACCUGGGAAUUGCAUUCGAAACUGCGAGGCUAGGGUACGGAAGAGGGAAGCGGAAUUUCUGGUGUAGCGGUGAAAUGCGUAGAUAUCAGAAGGAACAUCAGUGGCGAAAGCGGCUUCCUGGUCCAGUACCGACGUUCAGGCACGAAAGCGUGGGGAGCAAACAGG